rnacentral:rRNA from 1 species
CAGUCGCCGCGGGAAUACAGAGGAUGCAAGCGUUAUCCGGAAUAAUUGGGCGUAAAGCGUCUGUAGGUGGCUUUUCAAGUCCGCCGUCAAAUCCCAGGGUUCAACCCUGGACAGGCGGUGGAAACUACCAAGCUAGAGUACGGUAGGGGCAGAGGGAAUUUCCGGUGGAGCGGUGAAAUGCGUUGAGAUCGAAAAGAACACCAACGACGAAAGCACUCUGCUGGGUCGACACUGACACUGAGAGACGAAAGCUAGGGGAGCAAAUGGGAUUAGAUACCCGAGUAGUCCCUGUCUCUUAUAA